CCAGCCAUAGAUUGAAGUUGGGCAUGCUCAAUUUCUGUACUAUUGUUCCUUUGAGACGUGCUCGGUUGGUUUAUAUCCUUGCCAAUAUUUGGAGUUACUUGCAGAAUCGUGAAAUCUUGAGUUUGAACCUUCCAGGACAAGGAUUUGUUGAUGAUAAAACAACGGAAGUUUGGUAGGUCCCUCAGCUUCAAAUCUGUAAGUUCGGGAAACUCAACCUCGUCGUCCACUUCGCUGUUGUUGAAAAUUCCCUCCAUCUCUUUGCAGAUCUCUACAGAUAUUUUAUGAAGUUGUCUCAAUCCUUUAGCCAUGGAUAGUGGAAUGAAGUACUUCAACUCAUGACAUGAAUUUAUAUUUAAUUCUCUCAAUUUCCCAAAGUAUGGAAGCUGAAUUUCUGGUAACCGUGGAAUCCCCUGUAGUGCAUCAACUAAGUAGCCCUGUUCAACACAUUCAUCAGUCGAUAUUACCUCCUUCAUAUUUAUCACUUUUAUCAAAUUCAAGACUUCAGCUUUCCCCAUCAAGACUUUCAUCCCAGUUUCUUUAAUAUCACUUGCAUCAUCUCUAAGUUGCAACACUUUCGCAUACUUUCUGCUAGCUACAAUUUUAUAUGUGCAG
rnacentral:misc_RNA from 1 species